rnacentral:lncRNA from 1 species
CUUGACAAAACGGCAUUCAGAGCCAACCACUACUCAGAUCUAUUGUCCGUGAAGAAGCUGAUUUCAGCCCACAGCAGGAAGCAUUCUGGUCACCAGGCAAGAUUGUGUUCAGACUCGACAACAGGAAGUAGGAUGUCUACUCAAGCCUGCUGGCUGGAGGGCGACUAUAUUGGUCCAGGGCAGCAGGUAUUCUGCUCGCUAACAAAACAGCCUUCAUGGCCAAGUACUACUCAGGCCUGGUGACUAGAAAGGAGCUGAAUUUGGCGCAGAGUAGCAACCAUUCUGCUCACUAGAUAAAACAGUCUUCAAACUCGAGCGCAAGAGAUGGGACUGCCUACUUGGCGGCGAGGAGCAUUUUGGUCCAGAACAGCAACUACCCUUCUAGCUAGACAAAUUGGCCUUCGGUGUCUACUACUACUCAGAAAUGUUGGCCGGGAAGGAGCUAAUUUUACCUUGCAGAAAUCAGCA